rnacentral:rRNA from 1 species
GACGAACCGUACGAACGUUAUUCGGAAUCACUGGGCUUAAAGGGUACGUAGGCUGUAUCAUAAGACUGAAAGGUAUCGAACUAAAUGAAUAAGAGCUUUUCAGUAACUAUGAAACUAGAGUGUAAUGGAGGAAAGAGGAACUCCGAGAGUAGGGAUGGAAUCUGUUGAUCCUCGGAAGACCGCUUAAGGCGAAGGCUUCUUUCUAACUAAACACUGACGCUGAGGUACGAAAGUAUGGGGAGCAAAACGG